UUUAAAAUGAAUGUUAGCUCAUAAACUAAUUAAUGGAUGUACACGUAAAUUGAUUGUGCUAUACCCAAAAGAGAGUGUUUUCUUUUUGGACAGCACAUGCUGUAUUUUUCAUACCUAAUAAAAAAAAGGAAGCCAUGCAAAAUUAAACUCAACUUCUACUAGAAAAAUGCAACCCUCAUAGUAUGCACUUCAUUUUUUUUAUAAUCACAGCAAGAUGAACAAAACUUUAUUCUGGUGUUGGUUAUAGGACCUGAGAAAAUGAAUCAUGGAGUGAUACCUAACGGGUGUGGAAAGACUGCUGCAAGUUGUCCAUGAGGAAGUUGUUUCCUUACUUUAUUUAUCGUUAGUGAGGAAGGAACUGGAGAAGAUUUUAAAGACACUUCGAUCAAGCAAAACACAGCUUUCAGUGGAACAAGGACCUGUCAUUUUAUUGGCAGGAGAAUAUCCACGGGCAAUUACGGUGGUGUGGAAAUAUAGUGGAAGCCAAAGUACCCCUGCAUAUAUCAGCAAUGAAUUUAUCUCUGGAUCCCAAAAACAAAGCAAAAGAAACUCACUCAGCCAAAGCAUGAAAGACACAAUCAUCGACACACAGAAAAACAGGACUGGAAGGGACCUCAGGAGGUCAAUCCCCUGUUUAAGCUGGACCAUCCCCUUCUAAAUCAUCUCAUCUAUAUGUUUGACUAUGUUUGCUUUUAAAUGCUGCCAGUGUUGGAGACUCCAUGACUUCUCAGGUAGUUUGUCCCAGUGCUUAACUACUCUCACCAUUAGAAAUUUCUUCCUAAUAUCCAGUCUCAAUUUCUACUGUUAGGGCAUGUCUACACAUGCAUCUUAAUGUACAUUAGCCUAUUUUAAUGCACAUUAAAGCAUCACAAAAACGAUGCUCUUUAACUAUGUGCAUUAAAAUAGGGCUAUGCACAUUUUUCUAGUACCUCACAAUGGAGGUACUAGAUUUAAUGUGCAUUACCUAAAGUGCACUAAUGAACAUAUAGACAUGACAGUUUAAAACUAUUACUUCUUAUUCUGUCCCAUAUGGCCACAGAAAAGUCUAUUGCCAUCUUCCUUAUACCCACCCUUCAUGUAUCUGAAGACUGUUAUCAGAUCCCCCUUCAAUUUUCACUUCCCUGGACUAAAUAAUUUCUGGACUAAUAAUCAUUCUUCCAACCUUCCUUUGUAAGUCAUGUUUCCUUAGAUAUCUAAUAAUUUUUGUUGCUCUCUGCUGGGCUCUUUCCAGCAAAGAGCUUUAACUUGAUGCAGAGCCAAG
rnacentral:lncRNA from 1 species